ACCUUAGUGACUCCAUAAUACAUAGAAUGUUGUGGCAGUGACCCAUUAAGAUUUUCAACAUUAGGUCAUAAAAGGCUAUGUAGUCUCUGCCUGACUCUCUUGCAAUGCUCACUCUUAGAAACCAACUGCCAUGCUGUGAGGAAGCCCAAGACGCGUGGAAAGGAUCUACCUACUCAACAUGGAGACGAUGAGGAUGAAGACCUUUAUGAUGAUCCACUUCCACUUAGUAAAUAGACCUGGAAAAAGCAUAUCCCAUGGGGGCAGGAUGCAGAAGACAGCUCACAUGUGACCCUGAUGAAGACAAAGGUGGGAAUUAGAGAAGACACAGAGUUUGGGCUCCAGAAAGGGAGAGGGAAAGAAGAAAGGAAGAGAUGUGUUGUCCUGUCCUAGUAAGACAAGCCUCACCUCCUCGUGAGAAGUGGAAAGGACAAGGAGAGGAUGAACAUUCCUAUUGCAAUGGCCAAGGAAGGAUCAUGCAGAGAGGAAGAAAGGUUCUCCUAUAACUUUAAGAAACAAGAGUGAGUGCAAGCAAAAUGCAGACACAAAACUACUGAGUAGGUUGUGGAAUCUAUGCUGCAGAGAUGGAGAGAGGAUAUAGGAUCCUCCAUUUUUGUUUCUUAUUUUAACUUUAUUCUUGCCUGUGGUAAAAUACAUAUAAUAGAAAAUGUA